UACGUAGGGGGCAAGCGUUGUCCGGAUUUAUUGGGCGUAAAGAGCGUGUAGGCGGCCAUGUAGGUCCGUUGUGAAAACUCGAGGCUCAACCUCGAGACGCCGAUGGAAACCAUGUGGCUAGAGUCCGGAAGAGGAGAGUGGAAUUCCUGGUGUAUCGGUGAAAUGCGCAGAUAUCAGGAAGAACACCCGUGGCUAAGGCGGCUCUCUAGUACGGUACUGACGCUGAGACGCGAAAGCGUGGGGAGCGAACAGG
rnacentral:rRNA from 1 species